AAUAGCUGCGGUCUCCAAAACUGAGUGUUCCAGUGAGCAAUGAAUAGACUCAAAACUUAUAGGGGCUAUGAAUGAGUCACAAGCCUGGCCAAAUGCAAGGGGAAGAGAAGGGGAUGCUACCUCUUGAUGGGGAAGUGGCAACAUUCCAGAAGAACAUGUUUUGGCUGAGAUUGUGACCUGCUUGGAAAACAAGUCCUGCUGAUCUCCUAGCUGAGCUUCCUUAGAAAUCGCCCAUUCCAGCUCUAA
rnacentral:lncRNA from 1 species